GAGGUUGCUUCAGUGAACAUUCAACGCUGUCGGUGAGUUUGGAAUUAAAAUCAAAACCAUCGACCGUUGAUUGUACCCUAUGGCUAACCAUCA
ensembl:miRNA